rnacentral:rRNA from 1 species
AACGCAGCGAAAUGCGAUAAGUAAUGUGAAUUGCAGAAUUCAGUGAAUCAUCGAAUCUUUGAACGCACAUUGCGCCCGCCAGUAUUCUGGCGGGCAUGCCUGUCUGAGCGUCAUUUCAACCCUCAUGCCCCUAGGGCGUGGUGUUGGGGAUCGGCCAAAGCCCGCGAGGGACGGCCGGCCCCUAAAUCUAGUGGCGGACCCGUCGUGGCCUCCUCUGCGAAGUAGUGAUAUUCCGCAUCGGAGAGCGACGAGCCCCUGCCGUUAAACCCCCAACUUUCCAAGGUUGACCUCAGAUCAGGUAGGAAUACCCGCUGAAACUUAAGCAUAUC